GAUGAACGCUGGCGGCGUGCCUAAUACAUGCAAGUCGAGCGAACAGACGAGGAGCUUGCUCCUCUGACGUUAGCGGCGGACGGGUGAGUAACACGUGGAUAACCUACCUAUAAGACUGGGAUAACUUCGGGAAACCGGAGCUAAUACCGGAUAAUAUAUUUAACCGCAUGGUUCAAUAGUGAAAGACGGUUUUGCUGUCACUUAUAGAUGGAUCCGCGCCGCAUUAGCUAGUUGGUAAGGUAACGGCUUACCAAGGCAACGAUGCGUAGCCGACCUGAGAGGGUGAUCGGCCACACGGGAACUGAGACACGGUCCAGACUCCUACGGGAGGAAGCAGAAGGGAAUCUUCCGCAAUGGGCGAAAGCUUGACGGAGAAAGGCCGCGUGAGUGAUGAAGGUCUUCGGAUCGUAAAACUCUGUUAUUAGGGAAGAACAAAUGUGUAAGUAACUAUGCACGUCUUGACGGUACCUAAUCAGAAAGCCACGGCUAACUACGUG
rnacentral:rRNA from 1 species